rnacentral:lncRNA from 1 species
GCAUCUACACAGGUGGUUCCAACAAGCAUCAGGAAAAAUGAACAUUUAUCACGCAACCCACAGGAAGCACAAUGCACUAAACUUCCACAUAACCACCCAGUAAAUGAGAGGACUUCCUAUUCCUAAUCACAGCCUCAUUUUCAACCAUCAUCCUCAUUCUCAAGUAUGAGGAAAUGGAAUUUCCUUGAUCCAGACAGACUCCUAAGGCAAGAUUUCUAGUUCCACCUGUUAAUAACCAGAUGUGUGGUGCUGGUUAUGUCACUUCUCAUCUCUAAGCCUGCAAAGUCGGGGGUAAGACUUGGUUCAUCUCUAAAAUAGGUCUUUAAAUUCUAAUGGAUUUUAUAAGGCACCCUUCAACUUCCAAUUGAGCCUUCCAAUCAUUUAUAUUGCUGUGGCAGUGAGCUUAACCAGUGAACCUCUAAAUAGGCCAUACAGAAUGGGCUCUCUUCCAGUUUGAUACCAGCGAUUUCUUCAACACAGGGAGAAAGUAGCAGAAAAUUGGUAUUAGUGGGAUUUGUAAUUAUCAGGGCAGUUCCUAUUGAAGGUUUUGUUACUGUGUCAUGGCUGAUUAGACCUGUCUACUCUGGUUUUUGGAUAGUCCCCAAGGGCAACUGGGAGGCAAGGGCACAGAAGGGGUAGGAAACAAGAAAAAACAUCAGUGCUUUGGACAGCAGAGCCCCUCAGGAUAAGAAUGAGCUUGAUCAUAGAAAGUAAGAGUUAAAGCCAGCAUAGAAUGCUUAAAGUUACAUUUUACUUCGAGUAAGAGCAGAUAAUCUAGGAUUCAUCUGAAAACAGAAGAGCCUCAAGGUUUUCUGAAGUGGAUUCCGUCAUGGCUCCUCGUGGCUUCUUGGAAUUAAAAAACAUGGCCACUACCAAGGAAAUGAGGAAUAAUUUUAAAGAUGCUUACUUGGAGAAAGAAAGUAUACAUUGAUCUAGAGUGACAGUUCUCCAGCUUAAAAAAAAAAAAAAGUGUUCCUUUUAUGUUGACUCAAAAUUUUAUUUUUGAGACAGGGUCUCACUCCUGCACAGGCUGGAGUACAGUGGUACAAACAUAGCUCACUACAGUCUUGACCUCCUGGGCUCAAGCUAUCCUCCUGCCACAGCCUCCUGAAUAGCUGGGACUACAGGUGCGCAUCACCACACCUGGCUUGUUUUUAAAUUUUUUGUAGAGACAAGGUUCUCACCAUAUUACCCAGGCUGGUCACAAAUUCCUGGAAUCAUGCAAUCCUCCUGCUUCAGCCUCCCAAAAUGUUGGGAUCACAAGUGUAAGCCACUGUGCCAGGCCUCAAAAUACUAAAAUAAAUGACCAAAAAAAAAAAAAAAAAAACAUCAGCUGGUUGCAGUGGCUCACACCUAUAAUCCGAGCACAUUAGGAGGUAGAGGCGGGAGGAUCGCUUGAGCCCAGGAGUUACAGACCAGCCUGAGCAACAAAGACCCCAUCUCUACAAUAAAUACAAAAAUUAGUGGGCUGGGCACGGUGGCUCAUGCCUGUAAUCCCAGCACUUUGGUAGGCCAGCAGGCAGACCACGAGGUCAGGAGUUUGAGACCAGCCUGGCCAGCAUGGUGAAACCCCGUCUCUACUAAAAAUACAAAAAAAAAUUAGCCCGGCAUGGUGGUGCACACCUGUAUUCCCAGCUACUCGGGAGGCUGAGGCAGAAGAAUCACUUGAACCCAGGAGGCGGAGGUUGCAGUGAGCCGAGAUCAUGCCACUGUACUCCAGUCUAGGUGACAGAGCGAGACUCCGUCUCAAAAAAAAAAAAAAAAAGCCAGGCAUGGUGGUGUGUGCCUGUAGUCCCAGCUACUUGAGAGGCUGAUGUGGGAGGAUCACGUGAGCUAGGGAGGCAGAGGUUGCAGUGAGCCAAGAUCAUGCCACUGCACUGCAGCCUGGAUGACAGACUGAGACACUGUCUCCAAAAUUAAAAAAAAAAAAAAAGUUAGUUUAGAAUAUGCUUCUUCCAGUUUCACAUGGCCCACUGGAAAAAAGCUAACAAUUAUCUGUAAGAGGAGUGAGACAAGAUGCUGACUUUGGGGCAGAGUGAAGCAAAUAAGCAGUCUUUUGCAUGACGAGAGACUUGAAGAUACAGAGGAUGGCAGUGCAUUUAGGGUUUAAUUUAGGCUGCAGCUUGGGGAAGAAAAUCAGUGGUCAUCACUGCCUUUUGUCCACACUGUAUCACUAAGCAAAGCUCCUGAGAACAAACUGCUGGGAUAGUCAUGACCCUCUCUUGGAGUGGAUGAAUUCUAGGGACAGGUGCCAUAAGGAAAGGCUGCAACCCCCACAACAGAAAAUACAUAUUUAUUAUAAAAUAAAGUUAGUUUCAUGAAGAGAGUAGAAAAAUAACACUAUGAGCUACUAAAAAAGUUGUGGAACUCAGUCUCCGAGGAUUGGGGUGAGAGGCUUUCACAUCACUCUGGAAACCCACCAACAUGAGAUGCUCUGGCCACGGUGAUCAAG